rnacentral:rRNA from 1 species
AGAGAUUGAACAUAAGAGUUUGAUCCUGGCUCAGAUUGAACGCUGGCGGCAUGCUUUACACAUGCAAGUCGAACGGCAGCACGGAAGAGCUUGCUCUUUUGGUGGCGAGUGGCGAACGGGUGAGUAAUACAUCGGAACGUACCGAGUAGUGGGGGAUAACUGUCCGAAAGGAUGGCUAAUACCGCAUAUUCUCUGAGGAGGAAAGCAGGGGACCUUCGGGCCUUGCGCUAUUUGAGCGGCCGAUGUCUGAUUAGCUAGUUGGUGGGGUAAAGGCCUACCAAGGCGACGAUCAGUAGCGGGUCUGAGAGGAUGAUCCGCCACACUGGGACUGAGACACGGCCCAGACUCCUACGGGAGGCAGCAGUGGGGAAUUUUGGACAAUGGGGGGAACCCUGAUCCAGCCAUGCCGCGUGUCUGAAGAAGGCCUUCGGGUUGUAAAGGACUUUUGUCAGGGAAGAAAAGCUUGAGGUUAAUACCCUUGGGUGAUGACGGUACCUGAAGAAUAAGCACCGGCUAACUACGUGCCAGCAGCCGCGGUAAUACGUAGGGUGCGAGCGUUAAUCGGAAUUACUGGGCGUAAAGCGGGCGCAGACGGUUACUUAAGUCAGAUGUGAAAUCCCCGGGCUCAACCUGGGAACUGCGUUUGAAACUGGGUGACUAGAGUAUGUCAGAGGGGGGUAGAAUUCCACGUGUAGCAGUGAAAUGCGUAGAGAUGUGGAGGAAUACCGAUGGCGAAGGCAGCCCCCUGGGAUAAUACUGACGUUCAUGCCCGAAAGCGUGGGUAGCAAACAGGAUUAGAUACCCUGGUAGUCCACGCCCUAAACGAUGUCAAUUAGCUGUUGGGGUACUUGAUGCCUUAGUAGCGUAGCUAACGCGUGAAAUUGACCGCCUGGGGAGUACGGUCGCAAGAUUAAAACUCAAAGGAAUUGACGGGGACCCGCACAAGCGGUGGAUGAUGUGGAUUAAUUCGAUGCAACGCGAAGAACCUUACCUGGUCUUGACAUGUACGGAAUCCUCCAGAGACGGAGGAGUGCCUUCGGGAGCCGUAACACAGGUGCUGCAUGGCUGUCGUCAGCUCGUGUCGUGAGAUGUUGGGUUAAGUCCCGCAACGAGCGCAACCCUUGUCAUUAGUUGCCAUCAUUAAGUUGGGCACUCUAAUGAGACUGCCGGUGACAAGCCGGAGGAAGGUGGGGAUGACGUCAAGUCCUCAUGGCCCUUAUGACCAGGGCUUCACACGUCAUACAAUGGUCGGUACAGAGGGUAGCCAAGCCGCGAGGUGGAGCCAAUCCCAGAAAACCGAUCGUAGUCCGGAUUGCACUCUGCAACUCGAGUGCAUGAAGUCGGAAUCGCUAGUAAUCGCAGGUCAGCAUACUGCGGUGAAUACGUUCCCGGGUCUUGUACACACCGCCCGUCACACCAUGGGAGUGGGGGAUACCAGAAGUAGGUAGGGUAACCGUAAGGAGCCCGCUUACCACGGUAUGCUUCAUGACUGGGGUGAAGUCGUAACAAGGUAGCCGUAGGGGAACCUGCGGCUGGAUCACCUCCUUUCUA